rnacentral:sRNA from 1 species
AUAUAUUGAUGGAAAUGUAUGGAAAGCAUACAGUUGGACCGAAAAAUUAAUUCUCAGUGAAAAUUAUUUGACUGAAUUACAUAAGGAUUCAUUUGAAGGCCUGCUAUCCCUCCAGUAUUUAGAUUUAUCCUGCAAUAAAAUACGGUAUAUUGAAAGACAUACAUUUGAAUCACUACCAUUUUUGCAGUAUAUAAAUCUGGGUUGCAAUUUAAUUACGGAACUGAGCUUUGGAACAUUUCAGGCCUGGCACGGAAUGCAGUUUUUACACAACUUAAUUCUCAGUCGCAAUCCUCUGACUGCUGUCGAAGAUCCAUAUCUCUUUGAACUGCCGGCAUUAAAAUAUCUAGACAUGGGAACAACGCACAUCACACUUACAACACUUAAGAACAUUCUCAUGAUGACUGUUGAACUGGAAAAACUACAGAGUAUCACUGUCGCUCAGGCUGCAGUGUAGAGGCAUGACUUCAGCUCACUACAACCUCCGCCUCCCAGGUUCAAGUGAUUUUCCUGCCUCAGCCUCCCAAGUAGCUGGGAUUACAGGCAUGUGCCACCAUGCCCAGCAAAUUUUUGUAUUUUUAGUAGAGAUGAAGUUUCACCAUGCUGGCC